rnacentral:lncRNA from 1 species
UUCAAUAUUUGCUUUUGUAAUAUUUGUAUCUGAUUAUGUUAAAUAUUAAUCGCAUGUUGUUCAUGGAGCUUGUGAAUUGCAUGCUACUAGUAUAAUGGCAGCACAUCAGAAACUAAGCGAAUUUCAAAUGGUUUCUCAGGUGAAGAAUAUGGAAGCAAGCCAGAAACUAAGAGAUUUUCAAUGGGGAUAUCAAGUGAUCAAGUCCUCG